rnacentral:rRNA from 1 species
CUCGUAGGUGGUCCGUUACAUCUGCUGUGAAAACUCGGGGCUCAACCCCGAGCCUGCAGUGGAUACGGGCGGACUAGAGUGCGGUAGGGGAGACUGGAAUUCCUGGUGUAGCGGUGAAAUGCGCAGAUAUCAGGAGGAACACCGGUGGCGAAGGCGGGUCUCUGGACCGAUACUGACACUGAGGAGCGAAAGCGUGGGGAGCGAACA